AGAGUGGGGAUGACGUCAAAUCAUCAUGCCCCUUAUGACCUGGGCUACACACGUGCUACAAUGGUUGGUACAACGAGUUGCGAGUCGGUGACGGCGAGCUAAUCUCUUAAAGCCAAUCUCAGUUCGGAUUGUAGGCUGCAACUCGCCUACAUGAAGUCGGAAUCGCUAGUAAUCGCGGAUCAGCACGCCGCGGUGAAUACGUUCCCGGGCCUU
rnacentral:rRNA from 1 species